GAAGAUCAUCACACGAAUCAUGACGGAUUAAGAUUCUAAUAAUCUUCCGGGUAAGUUCUAUUUGCAUAAGCUGAGUCAUUAUAGCUGCUUCCUCAAUUUGGUCUGAAGCGAAUCGCUGACAAGUUUUCUGGGGGAAUGAAUGUGCAAAGAAGGAAUAUGUAUAUAGCUAGGGGAGGGUGACCCGGAAUGAAAUUAGAUCACGUAAUUCCACGGCAUUCACCAAAUAAGCUAAUAAUUGGUCAUAAAGUUGAUUCGAAAUCCGGCAAUGCAAUGUUUCUGCCUCAGUAGCUGGCCACAGGGGAACUUCGAAUUUGUGACGUCCUUCAACUGACGUCCUUCAACUGACACACCACAGAUGAUGCAACUGUUGAGUAUAAACCCUAAGUCCUUUUCCUUCCGAUCAUAGCAGCUGGUGCCGCUCCCAUCAUGGACUGGCAACACAUCAAUCUUGGAAAUCCAUGCUACUGUAUUCUGAAAUAGUCGGUUCCUGCAACUCAUAGCUGUGUGCAGGAGGCGCGAUCAUCCCUCAUGAGGUCUUCGGCAGCCACCCCACCCAUUCAUCCCCACGAAAUGUUGAAAGCACAAAACCCAUGUCCUGUCCCGCAUCUUUUAAUGGUCUCACUCUGGAGUGUUUAAUAGAACUGACUGAACUCUCAAACAUGUGCUCCAUUGUCGUUUACAGAGUUCAUGAAGACAUCAAGAUCAUUCAAGGUUCAAAGACAAGCUCAUUACACCAUCGCCUGUAGAAUUUAAUAUAUUCCGCUUCUCAUUCAUGAGCAUCCAACCGGGCAUAAAAGCAUGCCGAGCUUCAGCAGGAUAAUAAUCCGUGGCUGCAGGGAUUCGGUGCAAACUUUGGAGGUGAAGCCUCCAGACAAUCUCUGACAGAAUUGCAUGGUGACGGUACCCUUUGUCUGGGCUGAAGCUGCUGUGGAUCCAUAAUGAGCAUCUGAUGGACUAGAUGGCGACGAUUUUACCCGAAGUUGAUCGUUUCAUUCCAAUGAGAUGCGUAAACAUUAAACGAUCUUGAUUCAGGGGAGGGUAAUUGAAGGGUUUUGGGGCUCUGGUCUCACGUACAGUUCAUGUUUCUUGCUGGUGUCUGACUAGCCUCAUGGCCAAGUAGCUUUCGCAGUGCAUAGAGACAAAAGGGUACAGCACCGGCCGUGGGUUGGCGUACGUGAGCAUCUAGCAGCUUGCAAAGUGUUGGAAAAAUCUCAGAGGAUUCUUCGAUAUCAGUGACCCACUCAUUCUCAUGUUGCAGUAUCCCAUGGCUUUGUUUCUGCAACGAUUCCAUGGAUAGCUUACAACAAAAAGAACUCUAUCUGUCCAAGAGAUUCCAAUGAAGCUACCUUCUAGGGAAAUGAUUUACAAUCCCUAAUUGCUUCAGGAGCAUGCUUAAAGCUUCAAAUGGCACUCCAAGGACACUGCGUUUUUGGAGAAAGCAAAUUUCAGUUGCCUCCGAAAAUAUAAUCCACGUCUGUUUAUUGA
rnacentral:lncRNA from 1 species